UUCCCCAAUGAAGCAGGAAUAGAGCCAUUAAGAGCAUUCUCACCCAAAUCUAGGUAAGUAAGAGACCUUAGGUAACCUAUUUCUUCAGGAAUAGAGCCAGAAAGCUUAUUAUUGUAAAGAUCCAACCUAGACAAGUUGUUUAGAUUCCCCAAUGAAGCAGGAAUAGAGCCAUUAAGAGCAUUCUCACCCAAAUCUAGGUAAGUAAGAGACCUUAGGUAACCUAUUUCUUCAGGAAUAGAGCCAGAAAGCUGAUUAUUGUAAAGAUACAAAAAAGACAAGUUGUUCAGAUUCCCCAAUGAAGCAGGAAUGGAACCACUAAGAAAGUUGAUAUCCAAAGAUAGCUUAGUAAGAGACCUUAGGUAACCUAUUUCUUCAGGAAUAAAGCCAGAAAGCUGAUUUUCAUAAAGAAAUAAAAAAGACAAGUUGGUCAUAUUGCCCAAUGAAGCAGGAAUAGAACCACUAAGAAAGUUGAUACCCAAAGAUAGCUUAGUAAGAGACCUUAGGUAACCUAUUUCUUCAGGAAUAAAGCCAUUUAAAUGAUUGU
rnacentral:lncRNA from 1 species